UGCUCGUGCUUUUUGCUUUUUAAGUGUAAUUUUAGAGGAUGCAUGAGAUUCCUCAUGAUAUUUGUGCUGAGAUGUAAUUCACAUGCCAUAACAUUUACCAUUUUAAAGUAUGCAAUUCAGUUGUUAGUACACUUGUACAACCAUCACGAUUAUCUAAUUCCAGAACAUUAGAAUCACCUUCAAAAGAAACCCUAUACUCAUUUUCAGCCACUCCUUGUUUCACCCAUCCCCCUCCUCCCCCCUCAAGCUCCUGAAACCACUGUGAAUGGUUUCCUGCUAAUCUCUCUAUGGAUCUACCUGUUCAGGACGUUUCAUGUAAAUGGAAUCACACCACGUGUGGCCUUUUGUGUCUGCCUUCUUCCACCUAGCAUAUUGCCGAGGUUCAUCCAGGUUGUAGUGUGUCAGCACUUCAUGCCUUUUUAUUGCCAAGUAAUAUUGUGUGGAUUCACCAGUUUUGCUUACAGCUGAUGAACAUCUG
rnacentral:lncRNA from 1 species